ACGGAAGGCAGCAGUGGGGAAUAUUGGGCAAUGGGCGAAAGCCUGACCCAGCGACGCCGCGUGAAGGAAGACGGUCUUCGGAUUGUAAACUUCAGUCAACAGGGAAGAAGAAAGUGACGGUACCUGUGGAGGAAGCCACGGCUAACUACGUGCCAGCAGCCGCGGUAAUACGUAGGUGGCGAGCGUUAUCCGGAUUUACUGGGUGUAAAGGGUGUGUAGGCGGGGAAGCAAGUCAGAAGUGAAAACUAUGGGCUUAACUCAUAGCCUGCUUUUGAAACUGUUUUUCUUGAGAGUGGGAGAGGUAAAUGGAAUUCCCGGUGUAGCGGUGGAAUGCGUAGAUAUCGGGAGGAACACCAGUGGCGAAGGCGAUUUACUGGACCACAACUGACGCUGAGACACGAAAGCGUGGGGAGCAAACAGGAUUAGAUACCCUGGUA
rnacentral:rRNA from 1 species